AUCACUUAAGUUUCAAAUUGAAUGCUGAAGCGCAGUUUCCUUUAGAAUACAAGAAAUGAUAGAAACAAGUGUUCUGAUAUUUUUUUAUUUACCAUGUAUGUGUAGUUGUUCUUGACAUAGUAGAUUUUGAUACGAAAUGGAGGCAAAUACCAAUUUUUCUCUGCUCUUAACAAUUUUAUAUUUACAUAAAUUAAAAUUUUCAACUUUCACAUCUACACAUUGGAAGACAAAAUUAAAUCAUGCACUGUUAAAGAACAAAUAUGAGUACAUAAUAAUAAACAGUGAAGAACAGGAUAAUGAUUUAAAGAAAAAUAAUUCAUGUUGCACUGCAGAAAGAUUAAGGUUUACACAGCUCCUUCAAUUUGUAUGCUUAACAAUUGGUUCUACUUUGUCCUGUUGUACGCUACAUGUUAUCUUUUUACAAUUCACAUCCUUGUUAUUGCACGCUAAGAAGAUGGAGAAAUGGUCAAGUUGUUGAAGAUUGGGAGGCUCAUAACGUUUCAAUACAUGCUGUUAGUUAAUUGCCAUCAGGGGAGCUUGUAACAGAAACUCAUCUAGUUCGACACUCAACUUCUUCGUUCAAAUCCAAUCUUGAUAAGACCAGAACCAAAUUUAGCGAACAGUUGGGACACCCAUUGGAAGGUAUUGCGGGUUGGAUAACUAUGCAGAUCACUAGAGUCAACAGCUUGAAAGAUGAUUAACCACUUUCAGAGGAUAACCUCAUUUUUUCUCAACCCUAGGACAAAACUCACUUGUUUUCCACCCUAAGCCUGUUAAACUUCAUGUGGUCUUGAUGAAUGUGGAUGGAGAUUCGAAGACAAACCCAAUGUGUUAUAUUAAACUGCUUAUGUUCUUGUUUAUCACAUUUAUCUUCUAAUAAAUCAUCACAUAAUAACAAUCUCUAUUCAAAAUAUCAA